rnacentral:rRNA from 1 species
AUCCGAUUUAGCCAUGCUAGUCGCACGAGUUCAGACUCGUGGCGAAUAGCUCAGUAACACGUGGCCAAACUACCCUUCGGAACACAAUACCCUCGGGAAACUGAGGCUAAUAGUGUAUACCAUACCACCACUGGAAUGAGUGGUAUGCCAAACGCUCCGGCGCCGAAGGAUGUGGCUGCGGCCGAUUAGGUAGACGGUGGGGUAACGGCCCACCGUGCCAAUAAUCGGUAUGGGUCAUGAGAGUGAGAACCCAGAGACGGAAUCUGAGACAAGAUUCCGGGCCCUACGGGGCGCAGCAGGCGCGAAACCUUUACACUGCACGACAGUGCGAUAGGGGGAUCCCAAGUGCACAGGCAUAGCGCCUGUGCUUUUCGGUACCCUAAGGCGGUACCAGAAUAAGGGCUGGGCAAGACCGGUGCCAGCCGCCGCGGUAAUACCGGCAGCCCAAGUGAUGGCCGAUCUUAUUGGGCCUAAAGCGUCCGUAGCUGGCCGCGCAAGUCCAUCGGGAAAUCCACCUGCUCAACAGGUGGGCGCCCGGUAGAAACUGCGUGGCUUGGGACCGGAAGGCGCGACGGGUACGUCCGGGGUAGGAGUGAAAUCCCGUAAUCCUGGACGGACCGCCGAUGGCGAAAGCACGUCGCGAGAACGGAUCCGACAGUGAGGGACGAAAGCCAGGGUCUCGAACCGGAUUAGAUACCCGGGUAGUCCUGGCCGUAAACAAUGUCUGCUAGGUGUGGCUCCCACUACGAGUGGGUGCUGUGCCGUAGGGAAGCCGCUAAGCAGACCGCCUGGGAAGUACGUCCGCAAGGAUNAAACUUAAAGGAAUUGGCGGG